rnacentral:rRNA from 1 species
GUGCGGUGGCGCGUGCUUACACAUGCAAGUCGAACGAUGAAGCCUUCGGGUGGAUUAGUGGCGAACGGGUGAGUAACACGUGGGUGAUCUGCCCUGCACUUUGGGAUAAGCCUGGGAAACUGGGUCUAAUACCGGAUAUACCCUGCUGGCUGCAUGGCUGGUGGGGGAAAGCUUUUGCGGUGUGGGAUGGGCCCGCGGCCUAUCAGCUUGUUGGUGGGGUGAUGGCCUACCAAGGCGACGACGGGUAGCCGGCCUGAGAGGGUGUCCGGCCACACUGGGACUGAGAUACGGCCCAGACUCCUACGGGAGGCAGCAGUGGGGAAUAUUGCACAAUGGGCGCAAGCCUGAUGCAGCGACGCCGCGUGGGGGAUGACGGCCUUCGGGUUGUAAACCUCUUUCAAUAGGGACGAAGCGUGAGUGACGGUACCUAUAGAAGAAGCACCGGCCAACUACGUGCCAGCAGCCGCGGUAAUACGUAGGGUGCGAGCGUUGUCCGGAAUUACUGGGCGUAAAGAGCUCGUAGGUGGUUUGUCGCGUUGUUCGUGAAAACUCACAGCUUAACUGUGGGCGUGCGGGCGAUACGGGCAGACUGGAGUACUGCAGGGGAGACUGGAAUUCCUGGUGUAGCGGUGGAAUGCGCAGAUAUCAGGAGGAACACCGGUGGCGAAGGCGGGUCUCUGGGCAGUAACUGACGCUGAGGAGCGAAAGCGUGGGGAGCGAACAGGAUUAGAUACCCUGGUAGUCCACGCCGUAAACGGUGGGUACUAGGGUGUGGGUUUCCUUCCUUGGGAUCCGUGCCGUAGCUAACGCAUUAAGUACCCCGCCUGGGGAGUACGGCCGCAAGGCUAAAACUCAAAGGAAUUUGACGGGGGCCCGCACAAGCGGCGGAGCAUGUGGAUUAAUUUCGAUGCAACGCGAAGAACCUUACCUGGGUUUGACAUGCACAGGACGCGUCUAGAGAUAGGCGUUCCCUUGUGGUCUGUGUGCAGGUGGUGCAUGGCUGUCGUCAGCUCGUGUCGUGAGAUGUUGGGUUAAGUCCCGCAACGAGCGCAACCCUUGUCUCAUGUUGCCAGCACGUUAUGGUGGGGACUCGUGAGAGACUGCCGGGGUCAACUCGGAGGAAGGUGGGGAUGACGUCAAGUCAUCAUGCCCCUUAUGUCCAGGGCUUCACACAUGCUACAAUGGCCGGUACAAAGGGCUGCGAUGCCGUGAGGUGGAGCGAAUCCUUUCAAAGCCGGUCUCAGUUCGGAUCGGGGUCUGCAACUCGACCCCGUGAAGUCGGAGUCGCUAGUAAUCGCAGAUCAGCAACGCUGCGGUGAAUACGUUCCCGGGCCUUGUACACACCGCCCGUCACGUCAUGAAAGUCGGUAACACCCGAAGCCGGUGGCCUAACCCCGUGUGGGAGGGAGCCGUCGAAGUUGAUUCGCCU